rnacentral:tRNA from 1 species
GCGUGAGUGGCGGAAUUGGUAGACGCACCAGACUUAGGAUCUGGCGGCUUAGCCAUGGGAGUUCGAGUCUCCCCUCACGCACCA